UGGCUCAGUGGUUAAGAGCACUGACUGCUCAUCCAGAGGUCCUGAGUUCAAUUCUCAG
rfam:Rattus norvegicus chromosome 5, whole genome shotgun sequence.